UUUCCUCAAGUUCUACACCCAAACCACAUUGAGACUAAGAGUGAGGCACUUCUCACUUUGAAAUUGUUGGCCCAAAGAAGGCACCCAAAAUCAAUACAUAUGCCUCUGAUCACAGGAUUCUGGGCUGCCUACAACCACAGAAGUACUACAGAGCAAAAGUAUUCAACACCAGUAUGCUGCAGGCCACAGUGAUCUGAGGACUAAUUCCAUUCACAUGUGCCUAGGAGAUUUGUUUAGGGGGAAGCAAUCCAAAGGCCAACUGCAGAGUUCAUUUUAAUAGCACUGAGGUUUGUGUGCAUGUCUAAUCAUGGGAUCAGCAAAUUACAUGCCCUGUGCACAGACCAUACAACCUCUGUGGGAUUGUGGAACAACUGAGUGCAUGUGGGAGAAACACUAAGAAUGGAAAAUUCACCGAGCAAGAGGCCAAAUUGCGAAGCUGUUGAAUGGGGCAGAAGAGCAGCAGGGAUGCCAAAAGAACACAACAAAACAAAAAACAAACAAACGAAAAAAAAAACACGAAGAAAGAAAUGCAUUCAAGGAUAAGGAAACACCUGACAACCCAGGAAUUCUGAUAAUGCACUAACAGAAGCAGACCUGCAGCACUAUGUAUGACUGAAAGAUUUCAGAACAGCUUCCCCAGAACUGGGAUGUUUUUCCAAGUGAAUAGACCUGGCAUCAGCUUAGAGGAGAAUCAGACACAAGUAGCCACUUAGAAUUCAUUUUAGAGAUAUUGGAUAUUGGAAAGAAUGCUGGCUGAGCACAGGCCUGCAGAGUCCUGGGUCUGAGGGUGUGCAUCCCCUCCAAAGGCAAGCUCUCCAGAGAGCUCUGUUUCUGGUAAAAACCAAAAGCCUAAUAUUUAUGCAUACUCUGCUGGAUAUUCCUCACUGCAACAGUCAUGCCUUAAAAGGUUAAAGCCCAGAGCUCUGCUGCUUUAUAAAAGGCCAGAGAAAACAACCUGACUUAUCAUGAAGUUCAAAUAUAUUUGGACAGGUUAUUUAGGCUUUGUAUAUCAUACAGUCUCCACCACAACUUGUGCUGAAGCUACUCAACUAUGCUAUUGUAGGGCAAAAGCAAUCAUAGAUAACGUAAACAAAUGAGUGUGGUUCUGUUCCAAUAAAACUUUACUUACAAAAAUAGGCAGAGAACCAAACUUCACGAUUGGACAUAGUCGGCCAAUCCCUGCGUUACAGAGUACAGGGCUUUGCUCAAUAAGAAGCAGAAGGUUUCUACUGAGGCCUCUUAAUUGAUGCUUUGUAAAUUUUUCAGAUUCACAGGGCUCUUUCCAUCAGUUUGGUAUGCCUUCGACUGCAGGUAACAGGUAACCUCCACUGACUUAUACAAAUAGCAAGUUCUUAAUUCUCCUGUAACAAGGAGCGCAGGGUUAGGUCACUGCUGCCCUCCCCACUGCUUUCUUGGACACAGGCUCUUUCCUCCACCUUUUUCAACCUGUUGGCUAGUUGAAAAACCAAAAGACAGCUGAUGCUCCAUUGGGCAUCACAUUUAAAUUUCAGAAGGAAGAAAAUCAAAGGAUGAAAGGAUGGGCAAACUAUAAUUUUUUUCUUUUUAUCAGAAAAGCAAAAUGUUCCCAAGAACACCCCUAAGUCCAGUUGAUAAAAUAUUUCUAUUUGUAUCACAUUGGCUAGAACUAUGGCAUAUGGGUGGCCACCCCUUGUUGAAAGAAAAGGUGAGGAAUUUAGUAUUUAUUUUCCCAGCCUCUAGAGUACAGAAGUGAGAGGGAAAUUGUUGGGGAUGGGAAUUGAGACACUAAACUAUGCUCCUCUCUGGGUGUAGGACACUGUGUUGGUGAUAAGAAAGGCAACCUAAGGCAGGUGGUCAAGCAUAUGCCUACCAGGAAGGGAGCUGUAUAAGAGUGAUCCCUGAUGACAAGAUAUUGUAGGUUGCCUCUGUUAGAGAAAACCUUGAUAACAAGUGAACUGAUGCUUUUAAUGGCCUUUACUGGUGUUUUAGUCACCAACAAUGACAAGGUAUCUAGUAAUCAAUGUUCCUAUUGUCACUAUUUGUGACUUUCCUCUGUGCUUGACCCAAGUAUAAAAGAGGGAUUUUGCUGUGACUCUAUACAAAGACAGUUAACAUAGGUAAUCCUCUCUGCCAUCACGAAAAGUAUUUUACUAUAGAAAGGCAAAGGGAAGACAUAACAUAUUACACCAUAUACAGCUGAGAUUCAGGAGGAGGAGGGACUUUUGGUGACUGAAAUGCAGUCAUCCCAACACUGACAUAAUAUCAAGGUGAACUUACUGAUUACAUUUUUUGACAGGAAGCAGCCCUUCCAUUUUAAUGGCCACAAGUGGUUAGCUCUACAGUUUACAGUUUUGUCUUGUAAAUGGUAUGAUGCAUGGCUUUGAACCAUGAUCUCAUAGUUUAAAUCAUUUUAAUUUCCAGGAAUUACUUUUCUGUGAACACUCUACAUAGUUAAGGUUCAGAGGCAACCUUCAAAAUAAUGGAAUUGUUCUUUUGAGAAUUUUGCUCUGUGGGGGAAAAAAAGAGUUAAAUUAAGCAUAAGGCAAUUUUCUGGAAGAGUGACAAGAGAAGAAAUAUCCAACCAUACAACCAUGAUACACUCACAUGAAAUGCCACCAUAUCUGAGUCGCAUUUUUAUUUCCAAUGCAAUUAAAAUAUACCUGUGAUCAUAUGUUUUGCAAUUUAAUUAUAAAAUAUAAAUAAUCACAACUCUUUAAAGCCUGUUUGAAAUAAUGCUCUUUACUUUCAAAGCAAGUUUAUUACUAUCAUCUUACAUGAUCUUCAUUGGCAGGUAUGUGAAGUAGAUAGGGCUUGCCUGUUUAUGUCAAAGGAGAAUCUUGUAUAGAGAAGGAAAAUGACUUGCCUGAGAGCUCAGAGAUUCACACUGUGCCCUCAGUCCUCAACCAAUGAAUUAUCUGUUAUCUACUUGCAAAUGCAGAAAAUUGGUUCAUCUUAUUUUUAAGAUUACACUGUGUCUCCAUGCCAA